UAAGUUAUCUAUGCACUUUCAGGUUGAGUUGACUGAAAGUCCUGAUGGGCCACUUGUAGCGUUGGCAUUUAAGUUGGAGGAAGGGCAGUUUGGCCAGUUGACAUAUUUAAGAAUUUACGAGGGUGUGAUCCGCAAGGGCGAGUUUAUUAUUAAUGUAAACACCGGCAAGAAGAUCAAGGUAAACUCUAAGGUUUUUGUGAUUGUGUUAU